rnacentral:rRNA from 1 species
CCGCGUGCGGGACGAAGGCCCUAGGGUCGUAAACCGCUUUCAGUAGGGACGAAAAUGACGGUACCUGCAGAAGAAGCUCCGGCCAACUACGUGCCAGCAGCCGCGGUGAUACGUAGGGAGCAAGCGUUGUCCGGAAUUACUGGGCGUAAAGGGCUCGUAGGUGGUUGAGUAAGUCAGAUGUGAAAUCUCAGGGCCCAACCCUGAGCCUGCAUUUGAUACUGCUCUGACUAGAGUCCGGUAUCCUGGUGUAGCGGUGAAAUGCGCAGAUAUCAGGACUCUGGGCCGGUACUGACACUGAGGAGCGAAAGCAUGGGUAGCAAACAGGAUUAGAUACCCUGGUAGUCCAUGCCGUAAACGUUGGGCACUAGGUGUGGGGAGAACUCAACUCUCUCCGCGCCGUAGCUAACGCAUUAAGUGCCCCGCCUGGGGAGUACGGCCGCAAGGCUAAAACUCAAAGGAAUUGACGG